rnacentral:misc_RNA from 1 species
GGCAAUUAUAUAGAUAGUUUCAACAUUUUUUAGCCAAUGAUAACCUUAACCAUAAUCGAGCGACCGACCCUCUAAAACACGACACAAUCUCCAAAUGUGCGAUGAUCUUGAUUUCCUCAAAACACCAAGAGAUAUCACUCCAUUAUCCCACACCCAUUUGAAGGUGCGAGAAGGAUUCAAGCUAAUUGCAGCUGCCAGAGUGAAGAGAGUUUUUUU